UGCGGGAGAGUAGGUUAUUGCCAGGGUUUUUAUUUUUAUACUUUAAACUUUGAUUUUAUUUUUAUGUUUUUUAAAUAUUGGUGUUUUUGAAUGUGUUGUUUAAAUAACAUAAAAAAUAAAAUAUAUAUUGACAUGUAUUAAACAAAGAUAUAUAUUAUUUUAUGUUGUAUAAAUAAAUUGGCAAAAUAGAGAUGGAAGAUAAAAAUAUGGUCAAAGUAAUAAGAGUCUAUGGUG
rnacentral:misc_RNA from 1 species